GCUCUGCAUACACCCAAACAACUUUGUAAAUGGAAGCAAAAUAUUGUAGGUUCCCUUGUAGCUUUAGGAAUAAGACUCGGUGUUCCUUUUUGUGCUAACAAGUUAAGAGAUACUAUCAGGUAGCUGAUGCAUUCAGAUGCCCUAUCACAAGGAUUGAGUUUGGGUUACAAAAGCUAUCAGAGUGUACGCCAGAAGAAUGCGGAUAAGAUAGUAAUUUCACUGAGUCCGGGGAGGGGUGUGGGGGAACACUGUAAGUCAGUUAUUGAUCUUAGAAGGCGAAUUGGCAAAGCCUCAGUCACACACCUAAAGUACCAGUGUGGCUCAUGCAAGACUCUUAGUGUGGAAUUUAGGAUAUUAUACAAUUAAUAGGAACAUAGGCAACUAAGCACUGACAUGCAGCAACAACAACAUACCAAGUGUGAUCCCACUCCCACAAGUGGCCUCUGGAAAGAGUGGGGUGUAUGCACACCUUACCCCUAAUUUUGUUUUAUUUGUAUUUUUGCAAUUCUUUUUAUGAUAACAUCUUUCUUUUGGCGAGGCUAUGUGUGACGCACACCAGGCAGACGAUCCCUCAACUAAAUGGAUUUGGGCGCAACUUGCGUUCAAAAACUCAAUAGUUCACACAUUCUGCAAUUCACACAACGUGUCACAUUUUUGCAAUUUUUUGGAAGUAUGAGAUUUCAAUUAGUAUUGAUUAUUGGUUACUCUUUGUAGAAACUGAUAUUUUUUUGCUUGAGACUCUUUUUUUAAUCACCUUGUGUGGAUCUUCCCAUCAAUGUCAAUAAAGCUUAGAUAUCUUCCUGCUUUGACACCAUAUCGAAAUAUGUGACCAUUUCAUCUAAAGUUUUGAAUUGUUAAAUCAGGGACAUUUCAAGUCUUCAACAAGCCUCCUAAUGUGUAGAUCUGAUUCUUUUUUUCUUAGGGCUAAGCACGUGAAAAUAUUUUGUUGAUGGGUAAUACCGAGACUUGAAUUAAGGACACUUGAUUAAGGACACUUGCCUACUCCAAUACCAUGCGAAGUAUAUGACCACCUCAUCUUAAAGAUUAAUUCGUUCAUCAUUUAUUUUAGGUCUUCAACAAAUUCCUAAAUUGACUUACAACCUAUGGAGAAAAACAUUUCUUAGAACCCUAAAGGAGAAGUGUGUGACCUUGUUACGGCUAGUACAACUCCAGCAGCAGCCAAUAAGCACCCGGCAAUUUGAUUCAAAGAGUAUGUUCGUCAGAAUGAACACAGAGAGAGUCAACUGCCACACCAAGAAAGUCUGCAAUAAAAAGGCUUUUGCUAAGAAAUCUUAUUUCGCUUCUUUUAUAGACGGGCGAGAACUUUCUUAAGCAAUCUCGAGAUACAAUUAUAACUCUUCUUGUUUGAAGUUGGUUAGGACAUGAUUUUUCAGUAAAAUAAAGACUACUGCCAAUUCAUGAUUCAAUUAGCAAGAAAUAACAGAGCUGCGAGUAAGGCUACUA
rnacentral:lncRNA from 1 species